GGGCAUUCAGUACUUCCCAGUAAAGCCCCUAAGUGCCUCUGUGUCUCAGGAUUCUAUUUGAACUGAGCAAAGCUGGCUAGUGUUUGAGUACUCUUCAGAUAAGCUCUGGGAAAUCAGGCAAGAAUAGUGUUUCAGAUUAUUGAGAAAGAUGAAGAAAUUGCUUGAUGUCACUGCGCUGAUGAUGGGAAGACCCUUAUUUCUCCUUUCUUCUCUUCCUCGUAUGUGGAACUAGAGAGAACACGAGUAAGAGUGCAGCAGGAUCGCCUGUCAUCGCCUGUGGUGGGGGUGGAGAAACCUGGUCCUUCCAUGCCACCUAGUGUAGGAAGCUGAGCAGCAGCCCUGCGAGGAUGGGCUCUGCAAGGUGGGGUCGUUAAGCAGGAAAUAACGGAGACCUGAAGCCUGCCACGAAAUGAGCCACCUCUGCCCUGCAGCAGCUUCCUGAAUUUUGCUCUGCCACUUAUUUUAUUGUCUCCAGUGGAUUUCUGACUGAGGUGUCCAGCCACUGUCCUGAUGGGGCUGAUAGGCAACAUUACCUCCAGCCAGGAUUGAUCCUUCCUUGCAUUGGGUUUAAAAGCAGAUCUUGUCCUUCCUCCUCCCUACCCUCACCUGUGUACAGGCUUCCAUGCUCCCACAUGCUUUCACUGUGGCAUAAAUAAGGUUUUAUGUGGUGUGUAAAUAAGGAAAUCCCUAGAAGCAAAAGAGCACUUUAGAAGUUUGGCUUGCGUGAUGGCAAAAUGAUGACAUGUAACUUCAACACUAAUGAAGGCCGUAUGUGUGCAACGUGUUGAGAAAUGGGUGAAACAUAACACAGGGGAAGAAGAGAUGGAAUGUCAUCAUAUGUUUUCCAUUUGCAUCCACAUUAGAAAAAAAAAAAAGAUACAGUAUUUCUACUCUUUCCAAGGCGAUGUGAUGUAUGUGUCUGGUUCCAUUAUUAAAGAGAGAUCAAAAUGAUUUUAAAUAUGUUUUAGUAUUAAAGCAAUAUAAAGUGAAUGUUGGCUAUUUUGAGUCAUCAGACGCACUCUUGGCCUUUCUGCUUUUUCCUGUUCUUGGAACUCCCCCAUAUUUCUAGUUAACAGAACCCCUGAAGAUGACUGAUGUUUAAAUAUUUAAACUACCUCUUUUUUUUUUUAACUUUUUUUUCUAGCGUAAUUAUUGAUCCCACAAUGCUUAGUGUGUAAGAAGCAAUCCUGAGUUCCUGAAGUAAAAACCACCUUCCAAAAGCCAGGCUUUUAAAAGAUGAGUCAUUGGCUGGCACUUGCAUGUUUUUUUGGCACUUAGCUUAAAGUAAGAAGUUUUGAGGAGAACUUGUGUGUAACAAGUUUGUUUUUUACUUUUCUUUUUUUUUUUCCUCUAAAGAGUGCUUGGCCUACAGCCUGUCAACUUUCAAAGAAAAAUGAUGACAUGUAACUUGUGUAAUAAACCCGCAGUGUCCUGGAUG
rnacentral:lncRNA from 7 species